CCGAGACAGGUGCUGCAUGGCUGUCGUCAGCUCGUGCCGUGAGGUGUUGGGUAAGUCCCGCAACGAGCGCAACCCUAUUGCCAGUUGCUACCAGGUAAUGCUGGGCACUCUGGUGAGACUGCCCCGGUUAACGGGGAGGAAGGUGGGGACGACGUCAAGUCAUCAUGGCCCUUACGCCUAGGGCUACACACGUACUACAAUGGCGCAUACAAAGGGCAGCGAUACCGCGAGGUGGAGCCAAUCCCAAAAAGUGCGUCCCAGUCCGGAUUGCAGUCUGCAACUCGACUGCAUGAAGUUGGAAUCGCUAGUAAUUCGAGAUCAGCAUGCUCGGGUGAAUGCGUUCCCGGGCCUU
rnacentral:rRNA from 1 species